rfam:Angiostrongylus costaricensis strain Costa Rica genome assembly, scaffold: ACOC_scaffold0000019
GAUAACUGGCUUGUGGCAGCCAAGCGUCCAUAGCGACGUUGCUUUUUGAUCCUUCGAUGUCGGUUCUUCCUAUCAUUGCGAAGCAGAAUUCGCCAAGCGUUGGAUUGUGCACCCACUAAUACGGAACGUGAGCUGGGUUUAGACCGUCGUGAGACAAGUU